rnacentral:ncRNA from 1 species
AAGAGCCAAAUGAAUUGAAAGAUUUAUGUUUGGCUCGGAAGAGAUUAUAUAAAUUGUGCAAUUGAUAUGGAGAUAAUCUACUUUCAU